rnacentral:rRNA from 1 species
UACGUAGGUGGCAAGCGUUGUCCGGAUUUACUGGGCGUAAAGGGCGUGCAGGCGGUUUGUUUCGUCUAGGGUGAAAGCUCCCGGCUUAACUGGGAGAGGUCCUUGGAUACUGGCAAACUUGAGGGAGGCAGAGGAAAGUGGAAUUCCCGGUGUAGUGGUGAUAUGCGUAGAUAUCGGGAGGAACAUCAGUGGCGAAGGCGGCCCUCUGGUCCAGUACUGACACUCAAGUGCGAAAGCGUGGGGAGCAAACAGG